rnacentral:rRNA from 1 species
AUUGAACGCUGGCGGCAGGCCUAACACAUGCAAGUCGAGCGGAUGAAGGGAGCUUGCUCCUGGAUUCAGCGGCGGACGGGUGAGUAAUGCCUAGGAAUCUGCCUGGUAGUGGGGGAUAACGUCCGGAAACGGGCGCUAAUACCGCAUACGUCCUGAGGGAGAAAGUGGGGGAUCUUCGGACCUCACGCUAUCAGAUGAGCCUAGGUCGGAUUAGCUAGUUGGUGGGGUAAAGGCCUACUAAGGCGACGAUCCGUAACUGGUCUGAGAGGAUGAUCAGUCACACUGGAACUGAGACACGGUCCAGACUCCUACGGGAGGCAGCAGUGGGGAAUAUUGUACAAUGGGCGAAAGCCUGAUCCAGCCAUGCCGCGUGUGUGAAGAAGGUCUUCGGAUUGUAAAGCACUUUUAGUUGGGAGGAAGGGCAGUAAGUUAAUACCUUGCUGUUUUGACGUUACCAACAGAAUAAGCACCGGCUAACUUCGUG